UUUUUUCUGGUGUAAUUUGCAUUUAAGAAUUUGGCUUUUAAGGUGAAGGUUUGUA
rnacentral:tRNA from 1 species